rnacentral:lncRNA from 1 species
UGGAGACUUGUAAACUGGAGGAGGGGAGUAAUGCUUAACCGGUGGUGGGGGAGACUUGUAAACUGGAGGAGGGGAGUAGUGCUUCACCGGUGGUGGUGGAGACUUGUAAACCGGAGGAGGAGAGUAGUACUUAACCGGUGGUGGGGCAGACUUGUAAACGGGAGGAGGGGAGUAGUGCUUAACCGGUGGUGGGGGAGACUUGUAAACCGGAGGAGGGGAGUAGUGCUUAACCGGUGGUGGGGGAGACUUGUAAACGGGAGGAGGCGAGUAGUACUUAACCGGUGGUGGGGGAGACUUGUAAACCGGAGGAGGCGAGUAAUGCUUAACCGGUGGGGGUGGAGACUUGUAAACCGGAGGAGGGGAGUAGUGCUUAACCGGUGGUGGUGGAGACUUGUAAACGGGAGGAGGCGAGUAGUACUUAACCGGUGGUGGUGGAGACUUGUAAACGGGAGGAGGCGAGUAAUGCUUAACCGGUGGGGGUGGAGACUUGUAAACGGGAGGAGGGGAGUAGUGCUUAACCGGUGGUGGUGGAGACUUGUAAACGGGAGGAGGCGAGUAGUGCUUAACCGGUGGUGGUGGAGACUUGUAAACGGGAGGAGGCGAGUAGUGUUUAACCGGUGGUGGUGGAGACUUGUAAACCGGAGGAGGCGAGUAAUGCUUAACCGGUGGAGGAGGGGAAGAGUAGAAGUAAUUUGCAGUGGUUUGAGAGACAAAAGCAAGGGAGAAUGCUAAGACAAGGAAAGAGGCCAUUGGUGACCCCAUUUUGUUAUGU